rnacentral:rRNA from 1 species
AGAGUUUGAUCAUGGCUCAGAUUGAACGCUGGCGGCAUGCCUUACACAUGCAAGUCGAACGGCAGCGCGGGGCAACCUGGCGGCGAGUGGCGAACGGGUGAGUAAUAUAUCGGAACGUACCCUGGAGUGGGGGAUAACGUAGCGAAAGUUACGCUAAUACCGCAUACGAUCUAAGGUUGAAAGUGGGGGAUCGCAAGACCUCAUGCUCAUGGAGUGGCCGAUAUCUGAUUAGCUAGUUGGUGAGGUAAAGGCUCACCAAGGCGACGAUCAGUAGCUGGUUUGAGAGAACGACCAGCCACACUGGAACUGAGACACGGGUCCAGACUCCUACGGGAGGCAGCAGUGGGGAAUUUUGGACAAUGGGGGCAACCCUGAUCCAGCAAUGCCGCGUGAGUGAAGAAGGCCCUCGGGUUGUAAAGCUCUUUUGUCAGGGAAGAAACGGUCUACUCUAAUACAGUGGGCUAAUGACGGUACCUGAAGAAUAAGCACCGGCUAACUACGUG